AUGAGAGUGCAAGUGCAAGUCUGCAGCCAGACCCUUUUUGAUGUGAAUGUGCUACAAAGUGAGUAUCAGAAAACACAUCCAGACCUGGAGUGUCAAAGACCACAUGGCAGGAACAUUCUCCCGGAGACGUUGAAAAAGCAUGGAAGGAAUGUAUGUGGAGGAUGUACUCAAAAAACACCCAUACUUAAGAACACCUGCUGGAGGGGACCCUGCUACACCUUUCCUACGAUACAGCUGAUGGAUACUGACUGUAAAAUGGCAAUCAUAGGAGGAGGGCUCAGUGUGGUGACAGAAGAUGGAAUAGACGUGUGCCAGUGCACCAGCCUUGAUGAAACCUUAAUAACAGCCUUCUGUAUCUAUUUUGCUUUCAGCAUUGCAUAUCCAACACACCUGAGAAAGACACUGACUUUCCUUUGUCAACACUAGAAGAUGGAGACAAGCACUGCCAGUAUCAUUGACUGGAAGUCUAUCAGUCCAGAUGUGAGGAGGACACACAGAGUGGAGUUGGAGCUCAGCAGGUGUGAUGGCUGUAGAUACUGUUACAAUGGAAAGAAGGGGGUCUUCACAGCUUUCUAUUCAGACAAAGAGUUUGCUGGAUUCUGUUCUAUGGACUGCUACUACAGAAUGAAUGAAUGAGUGGUUUAUCUAUAUAUCUAUCUAUCUAUCUAUCUAUCUAUCUGUCUAUCCAUCCAUAUUUUACUUGAAUUGGCGACUGAAACUCAAGGUGAAAUAAGAGGAUAAAGCUGUCUGUUUGCUUAAUUGGUAAAUGUCAGGUAACAUAAGGUUACUAAACUUCUGACUAAUUUUUAAAUUUGAUUAUUGAGUGGUUUUGUCAACUAUAUAUUUUUCUCUAUCAGGCAAAACCUAGUUUUCAGGGUAACACUUUACAAUGAGGUUUCAUUUGUUGACAUUGAUGUAUUAACUAUGAG
ensembl:lncRNA